CUCUCGCGCAUUUCGUCUCCUCAAAGGGAUGAGGGGAGAAAAACCGAUUAUUUGGUGCAAUCUUUUGUUGAGAGCGGCUGUGAUUUUUUUGAGUUGAGCGUCUAUUUACAUGUUUAUUCCUUUUAAAAGUGGUUUUUCAGUGUUUUUAAAGACAGAUCAAAACAUUCCUGAAGUUGCUGGAGAAGGACCCAUUGCCUUAAAAAUGUGCUGGACGAAAAAGUAGUCCAGGAGUAAUUGUUUAAAAUGCCUCAAAGGAGCAUUGGUGCUUAUUAACCUGAUCGAGUCGGUUAAGGAAGGCCCUAAAAAUCUAGAAAUUCUGUGUAAAAUAAAUAUAUUUACUUUUUUU